rnacentral:rRNA from 1 species
UACGGAAGGGGCAAGCGUUGUUCGGAAUUACUGGGCGUAAAGGGCGCGUAGGCGGCCUGUUAAGUCGAACGUGAAAUCCCCGGGCUCAACCCGGGAACUGCGUCCGAAACUGGCAGGCUUGAAUCCGGGAGAGGGAUGUGGAAUUCCAGGUGUAGCGGUGAAAUGCGUAGAUAUCUGGAGGAACAUCGGUGGCGAAGGCGACAUCCUGGACCGGUAUUGACGCUGAGGCGCGAAAGCCAGGGGAGCAAACGGG